rnacentral:rRNA from 1 species
CUACGUAGGGGGGCAAGCGUUGUCCGGAAUCAUUGGGCGUAAAGAGCGCGUAGGCGGCCCUGUAAGUCCGCUGUGAAAGUCAAGGGCUCAACCCUUGGAUGCCGGUGGAUACUGCAGGGCUAGAGUCCGGAAGAGGCGAGUGGAAUUCCUGGUGUAGCGGUGAAAUGCGCAGAUAUCAGGAGGAACACCGAUGGCGAAGGCAGCUCGCUGGGACGGUACUGACGCUGAGGCGCGAAAGCGUGGGGAGCAAACAGG